UUGGAUUACCUGGACUCAGCCACUCAUUUUAAGUGUGCUGGCUUUGAGUUUGUUAAUAAUCCUUUCUGAACUGAUCCUGCGUUUGGGUCCUCCAAACUGCUCAACCCUACAGACCUGUGACAACAUUAUCCAAUCAGGAAUAUCAUUUCAAUAUUUACUCACGGAUCACGGUAACGUUAGGUGGGCCAGACACUCAAAUAAGAUCAUUAAUCCGUUAAAUCAGAUAAACUCCUGAUAAAUAGUUUACUGGAAUAACGCUGGAGACCAAAAUAUUUAAAUACGAGUCUACAGGAGGUGGAAAAUAAAGUUGAGUUCCUGAAUCUAACUUCAGCAAUGCUUCAAUAGUUGCUGAGUAAGGGGUUCUCUGAGGGGGGCCACUGACUCAUUACGUACGGUCAGAUAUAAAAGGAAGGGGUUAAACCAGGGAGGAAGGCAGUUCAGGAGCAACAGCACAUCUGCAUCCAACAUGAGCAACACCAGCAUGAACAUGAGGGGCAAGAUCAUCUUCUACGAGGACAGGAACUUCCAGGGUCGUUCCUAUGAG